CUAGCGACUUCAGAGUUUGAUCCUGGCUCAGGACGAACGCUGGCGGCACGCCUAACACAUGCAAGUCGAACGGACGAGGAGAAAGCUUGCUUUUUCCAAGUUAGUGGCGGACGGGUGAGUAACACGUGAGCAACCUGCCUUUAAGAGGGGGAUAGCUUCUGGAAACGGAUGGUAAUACCCCAUAAUAUAUUGUUACCGCAUGGUGAUGAUAUCAAAUGAUUUAUCGCUUAAAGAUGGGCUCGCGUCUGAUUAGAUAGUUGGUGAGGUAACGGCUCACCAAGUCGACGAUCAGUAGCCGGACUGAGAGGUUGAACGGCCACAUUGGGACUGAGACACGGCCCAG
rnacentral:rRNA from 1 species